rnacentral:misc_RNA from 1 species
CACACACACAACUAAUAUUCCUUUUUCUAAUUAGGGGAAAAUUCACUUUUACAUUGACAUAAGUUCCCAUUGAAAAUAAUUGCAGGAAUAAGCCACCACAAAAUAGGAAGUAUUGCGAAACUGGAAACUUGAUUUUAAUAAGCAACACCUAAGAAUGCCAAAGGACGCUAGUUACGGUUCCAUCCAUAAAAUUACCAAGUUAAAAGAAUAUCUCACUACAAUUCAAAACUAAAAUUCCUUUGCUUUGCCUACAUUUGCCCCAGCAAAACCAAUAAGAGCACGAUCAAACAUAAAGAUCCAAACCCAGAUCUGAAUCAAACCCACGAACACCUAUGUAUUGAUGAGGAAAAAGAGACUUAC